rnacentral:lncRNA from 1 species
AUUUUUUCAAUGGACAGAUUCACUUUACAGAGAGAAGGAGAAAGAGUAGCCAGAGAAGCCCAGCUAACGGUCCUAGGGAGGCCACAGUAGGCAACACAGCGAAUACGAAAUGUGGUGCACCCUGAGAGGGAAGCCUCAGGUUUCUGCAAGCUUUCCACAGAAAAUUCCAUGUUAAGAAACCUGGCCUUGGAAAACUCAAGAUUCUUGAUUUUAAGGCAAUGACCCUAGAAGUCUGGGCCCAAAUUAAAUUUCAAUGAAGACUCUCGCAGACUUUUCUCGUGGGAGAGGACUAUGUCAAGAUGGGAAAGAUGGGCACUUGGAGGGAGAAGCUGGACUGAAUACUUGAAUGAAAGCUGAGGACUCAGGAUGACUAAUAAACAUGAGCACGUGGACAAGGCCAAGGCCAUACCAGAAUGUCACUAGAUCUUCAUCAUCUGCUUGCACAAGAGCGAUCAUCCAAGAAUCGGCAAUUCUAUUGCUAAGCCUGAGAGGAUAAUGGUAUUAUCCCUGAAAUCCAUCAGUGUCUUCAGUCCAGACCCUCGAGUCUUCAGUCCAGAGAAAACACUGCAGCACAUCCAGCUUUGAAGAGUUCUAAAAUACUACAGAACUGCAGCAUAGUUAUAU